GCUCCUCAGAUGGAGCGCACCACAGAAGUGCCCAGGGCUGCACUGGGCCUGGCGCUGCAGCCAUGUGAUUGGAAAUCUGAGCUGCGGCUCAUUCUGCUUUGUCUGGAAUGAAUGCGAGCAAGCCACAGAGAGCUGGGAACUCUCGGUGACAUGGGAACCCUGCGACCCAUCAUGGUUCCCUUUGGAUGUCCUGUCUACUGCCUGGGUGAAAGGUCGGUGUGUCAAGCACCCCAGGUGAAGGUCCUCUCCACUCAUGGAAAACAGCAGCAGGAUGAUUCCACGUGUCAGCCAUCACUGGACUCGUACUCUCUCUACCGUCACGGUCUAAGCCGAGCACGUAAGGCUGUAUGUGUUUCUGGCUCUUGCAAACUCUUAACUGGAAACUCAACUUCACAUGGUCCGGACUUGGAUGAGCAGAGCUUUAUAACAACCCCCUGUGCUGUGCAGGGCCUUAAACAUAACAGAGGGAGCCCUCUCUCUCCAUAGGAGGGCUUAUAGGGAACAAGGGCCAGGAAGGCUUCUUGUCUUGGUAUUUAGAAGGCAGUGCCCCUGUGCUUACCCAUUCAGAGUAAGGAACCUGGACCCUGGAACAGAGGCUGCGUGCUAACCUGGCCUCUGCCCCUCACCAGCCACGAGCAACCUCUGUACUCUUCCUCAUGCGUAUAACGGAGCAAGUAAUAGUUAUACUUGUUACAGUUCCUACUUCAUGGAACUGUAACAAAGAUUAAAUACACAUGAGGUGCUUAGAAUAAUGCCGGGCAGAUGGUACACGUGUAUUACGUCAAUUGCCUUAUUAUAAAUGAGAAAGUGUUUCAUGCUCGGUGAGACUCAGACAAAGGAGAGCGCAGACCCUCGUGGAAUAGUGGCCCUCAGAGAUGCCCACAUCCUCCUCCCAGGUUACAUGGCAUUGGGCACUGAAGGUUGCAGAAGGAAUUAAGGCUGCUAGUCAGCUGGCUUUAAGAUAGGAAGAUUCUCCUGGGUGCUCCAACUGGACCCAGUGUAAUCACACGAGCCCUUAAAAAGUGGACGAUGAGGGCAGGAGAAAGGCACUGAGAGAGGCGGCUUUGGUGGAGGCCAGGAGCCAAGGAGUGCAGGCGGCCGCUGACCCCUGGAAGCGCAAGACACAGAUGCCCCCCUGGAGCUUACAGAAGGAACCCAGCCCGGCUGUCCCUCGGUUCUCACCCAGUGGGGCUCGCUAAGUUUGGGGUCAUUUGUUACAACGGCAGUAGGAGUCUCAUACACAGAGUUAUCCCCGUGUGUCUGUGUGCUGCCUCUGUGACUAAUCCAAGGUGCUUAGAACUGCCCGUGCGGUGCUUGCAACACCCCCAUAUCCACACACCAUACCAUUCUGUGGAGUGCGCAUGUCUCGAUAAACCCUCCAAGAAUAUGUGAUGCUACUCGCCAUUGGAUCUCUUCUGGAGCUGCUUAGUAAGAAUCUAGGAUUUUCUUCCAACGAUGAAUUUUUUAUCUGGCACCUGUGACCAUAGAAGUGCUGUGAAAUAUUUGGGAGGCUUCCACGGCUUACACUGCUCCCAACCAGCUGAGGGGUCUUAUCAUGUUAUUGAACUACAAAUGUUUAAGGCUGGGCUUCCCUUGCCCCAAAGACUCCAUCUCUGUAAGAAAACUGUCAAUACUAAUAAAACCAUUAGUGCAAAAUGGA